GAGUUCAGUGAUGGGGGUUUCAUUUUCCGUUGUUCCUCUUUCGCCUUCAAAAAUCCACACUCCUACUAUUUAAUUUUCACACACAUACAACAUAAACAGACAGUGAUUCUUGUAAGAGAAAACCCAGUUGAAGAAUCUUAUGUUCUCUCUUCAAAUAUCGAUUUAAUAGUAUGUGUUCUUGAAUGUAGUUCUUCUCUUGGAAUCGAUGUUUUUCGCUAUUUUGGUUGGUUGAUUGAAGCGGGUGUGGAUUCGAAUUUGUGGGUUUCUUUGGGGACGGAAGGGUGGGGCUUGUUAUAUGAUGCUUUGUCCUGAAUUGAACACUCAGAUACAGACAUGGCUCCGUGAUUACGACAAGAUUCAAUCUGUCACCGUGAUUCUCAUUUACAUUCAAAUUGGUUGUGCUUUGAUUGGAUCACUUGGAGCUUUGUACACUGGAGUUUCUUUGGUUAAUCUUGGGAUUGCGUUGUUUGCGUUGGUUGCUAUUGAGAGUAGCAGCCAGAGUCUGGGCCGAACUUAUGCUGUCCUUUUGUUUUCUGCAAUUUUGUUAGACAUUCUAUGGUUCAUCCUAUUCAGUCAUGAAAUCUGGUACAUGUCUUCUGAGAUUUACGGAAAAUUUGCCAUUUUUUCUGUGAAACUCACUCUAUUAAUGCAAGUUAUUGGAUUCUCAGUAAGGUCUUCAUCCUCGCUAUUAUGGAUACAGAUGUAUAGGUUAGGGGCUUCACCGGUAGAUAGUACAUGUCCCCAAGAGGGCGAUCAGGAUUUGAGGAACAGUUUUAUAAAUCCUGCCACCCCUUCUGUCAUGAGACCUGCUUCUGGUUCUAAUGAUGUAUUAGGAGGUUCUAUCUACGAUCCAGUGUACUACUCAUCUCUUUUUUCAGAUAAUCAAGAUGAAGGGUUUUUACGUGAGGGUCAGAACCGUUUCAGUAGCUCGGGUAGGUUUAUAUCCGAUGUCCCUCAGCUGAAGUCAUUGGUCCGCCCGUGCAUGGAUAUUGCAAAUAAUGAGUAGCACCAACCAACCAACAUGCUUCACCUUGAGAGCAUGAUGAGCUUUAUAUUUGAGUUGAGGAAAGGAGCCAGAUUGGGAGUUUCUGAAGUGGGAUUAUGACAUAAAUGGAGGAUUAUUGGUUUAUUCAAAUUUAGGAGCUGUGUACAGUCGCGGUCGCUUGUGGUAUUUUUGCAGGAUAAGCAAAGGGAGAUGGUGUGUUGCUGUUAGAUUAAACGAUAUAUUCUCUGUAGGUGCAUCAAUCCAAUGUCCAUGGCUUUAACUGCAUUUUAUGUACAGUUUGAAUCGGAUUCUCUAAGAAGACGUCCAUAGACAGAUAACAAAACGAUUUAAUGGGACUUCUGAAAAAGGUGAUAGUUCU